GGGAGCCCGGCCGCCUCCGAGGCCGAGGAAGGGCUGACAUUGCCGGAGUGAAAAAAAAAGGACGAAUCCGGGCCAGUUUGCACACCUGUGGUGCUUCCACAGAAUCAGUUGUGUUGGAAAAGAACUCUGAGAUCAUCGAGCCCAACCUUUCCUGGCUCUGGAUGCACUGAGUUACCCAUUUUCCCACGUGUGGAUGUGCUCCUGUUUACAUUACUUGCAAACAACUUCAGUAGAAGGUAAAACUCCUUCCCGUCAGACUAAGCUGAAGGAUGUCCCCAAGCCGAGAGGGUUUUGGGGUCUGCACUUUAAAACUUGAAUUAUUUAAUGACACAACAGUACAAAUAGCUAACACAUGCAAGCCGCAGGAAAAAAAAAAGUGGAAAAAACAGGAGGGUAGAGCGAAUAUGCUGAUAAAUGCCUGUGAUACACAAACACAGGCAGUAAAUACCGUGUGGUUCAUUAGAUACGGGCUGGGGUGAUCCUGCCCUGCAGUUAAAGGCCUCUCACUUCCUCUGCCUUCUCCAGGUUGGUGCUUUCUACCAGCUCCGCUCUCCAGCUCUGCUGGUUCCCAGUUUGCCACCCUUUAAAUGUUGAGCUGUUGAUCCUCUCUGGUGAUACAAUGCAACUCUUUGAUGCCAAAAGCCCCUUCCUCCACUGAAUCCACAAGUUUCAGGGAUGCUGGGACUACACAGGAAAGGCAGGCAACAUGUAAUGAAAUUACGUGGAAGAGAAAGAUCCAUUAGAGCAAUGAGAUACCCGUAAAUCCUGUUAGCAGCCAAGCAUUUCCAUAGAAAUUUCCUGAUUCUAGAUGCCCAGCACCUUUCCUACGCUUCCAUUUCCUUAACACCAUUCCUAAAUCCCUACAUGGCUUCAUUUACAAGCCUAAACCCCAAAUGUAAAUUGAGGGGGGAGGAUCUCGUGUCCUUGGGUUUUAGCUCUAAAUUCCGUAGUUCAGGGUCUACUGGAAAGGGCAGCCUCCAGCUCUUGGACCAGGCGUCAUCUCUUGGCUUUAGACUCCUCCUGCACCACUCAGUUAAAGUUCAGGAUUUCACUAGUGGCUCGUCAGAGCGAGAACGUGCACAUUUAUGGAGAGUGGGAACUCAGCACAGCCCUCAGUUUCCUCUGCUGCCUUUGCCGGGAUUUGGUGCUGUGCGGAAGGAUGAGGCAUAAAGAGGAGGAACUCACCCAGGUCCCACCCGGCACUGCAGAAGGAACCAGAAUUACCAGCCCUCACCCUGCCUCGCCCAGGGUGUGCCCUGAUGGAAACAAACUGUUGGACAUUUUCUCCAAGCACCUCUGCUGCUGCACAGGUGGGGAGCGAAGGUGGGAAAGCAUUCCUGAGGGGAUGGGGGGAAUACAGUUUUGUGGUGCUGGUGAAUCCUUCAGCAGCAUGACAGAACAGCAAUUUGGGAUUAUCUCUUACAAACCAACCCUAUUUUAGUUUUUAAAAUAAUCAAGAUUUGCACAUUGUGGUGUAAAAACCAGAAAUGUUUUUCAUUUACAUUUCCAGAAACUUUUGAGAUCUCUUCCCGAAUAUUUCAACACAUUCUCCUUCCCCAUUUUCCCAGCUGGGAUAAUUUUUUGCCAGCACAGGCAAUUCUUCUUGGUAUCCAUGGGAAUUGCCUCCAUAAUUAGACGUGCACCCAGUGCACAGAUCAGAGCGCUCCAACCCAGCAGCUGGAACUAGGAGGCAGGUCUGAUUAAAUCUGCUCUGCCAUGAGGAGAAAAGCCAGCUUUAAUGAAACAUCACAGGACUCCCUACCCCGUCUUUAAACAGGGCAGGAAAAGGGACUCUGGGAUUACUUUGAGAGUGGCUGCUCGUGGUGUGCUCGCAAUUCACAGAGCAGAAAGCGAGCACUGAGUGAUCCAGGGCCUUGAAACUGGGGAUCUGCCUCAUUAAAAAGGGGCUGAUUGCCAGCAGCUUAUUAAAGGGGCUCACAGUCUGCCUUCAGAACGGCAGAAGGUUGGAGGGGUCAGCAGGUGCAGAUGCAGGUUUUCUCCUUGAUAGUUUUACUCCAAGCCAGUGAGAUCAGGGUCAGCUUGUAGAAGAACAGCUUUUCUGGGUUUCCUGCCCUGCCCAGCAGUGAUUGUUUGUGUGGAUCCACCAAAAGACACAGAGCCAGCCAACAGCUCUUUUUUUUAUUGAAUCCCAGAAGGGUUUGGGA